GGACUACCGGGGUAUCUAAUCCUGUUUGAUCCCCACGCUGUCGCGCCUGAGCGUCAGUUACGAGCCAGUGAGCCGCCUUCGCCACUGGUGUUCUUCCCAAUAUCUACGAAUUUCACCUCUACACUGGGAAUUCCACUCACCUCUCUCGUACUCAAGUCUUGCAGUUUCAAUGGCAGUUCUGGAGUUGAGCUCCAGGCUUUCACCACUGACUUGAAAGACCGCCUGCGCGCGCUUUACGCCCAGUAAUUCCGAACAACGCUAGCCCCCUUCGUAUUACCGCGGCUGCUGGCAC
rnacentral:rRNA from 1 species